rnacentral:SRP_RNA from 1 species
GCCGGGCGUGGUGGCGCGCGCCUGUAGUCCCAGCUACUCGGGAGGCUGAGGUUGGAGGAUCGCUUGAGUCCAGGAGUUCUGGGCUGCAGUGCGCUAUGCCGAUCGGGUGUCCGCACUAAGUUCGGCAUCAAUAUGGUGACCUCCCGGGAGCGGGGGACCACCAGGUUGCCUAAGGAGGGGUGAACCGGCCCAGGUCGGAAACGGAGCAGGUCAAAACUCCCGUGCUGAUCAGUAGUGGGAUCGCGCCUGUGAAUAGCCACUGCACUCCAGCCUGGGCAAUAUAGUGAGACCCUGUCUCU